GGGUUGUGAGGUUAAGCGACUAAGCGUACACGGUGGAUGCCCUGGCAGUCAGAGGCGAUGAAGGACGUGCUAAUCUGCGAAAAGCGCCGGCGAGGUGAUAUGAACCUUUGACCCGGCGAUGUCCGAAUGGGGAAACCCAGUGUGAUUCGUCACACUAUCGUUAACUGAAUACAUAGGUUAACGAGGCGAACCGGGGGAACUGAAACAUCUAAGUACCCCGAGGAAAAGAAAUCAACCGAGAUUCCCCCAGUAGCGGCGAGCGAACGGGGAGCAGCCCAGAGUCUGAAUCAGCUUGUGUGUUAGUGGAAGCGUCUGGAAAGUCGCACGGUACAGGGUGACAGUCCCGUACACGAAAGCACACAGGCUGUGAACUCGAAGAGUAGGGCGGGACACGUGGUAUCCUGUCUGAAUAUGGGGGGACCAUCCUCCAAGGCUAAAUACUCCUGACUGACCGAUAGUGAACCAGUACCGUGAGGGAAAGGCGAAAAGAACCCCGGCGAGGGGAGUGAAAAAGAACCUGAAACCGUGUACGUACAAGCAGUGGGAGCACCUUCGUGGUGUGACUGCGUACCUUUUGUAUAAUGGGUCAGCGACUUAUAUUCUGUAGCAAGGUUAACCGUAUAGGGGAGCCGAAGGGAAACCGAGUCUUAACUGGGCGUUAAGUUGCAGGGUAUAGACCCGAAACCCGGUGAUCUAGCCAUGGGCAGGUUGAAGGUUGGGUAACACUAACUGGAGGACCGAACCGACUAAUGUUGAAAAAUUAGCGGAUGACUUGUGGCUGGGGGUGAAAGGCCAAUCAAACCGGGAGAUAGCUGGUUCUCCCCGAAAGCUAUUUAGGUAGCGCCUCGUGAACUCAUCUUCGGGGGUAGAGCACUGUUUCGGCUAGGGGGCCAUCCCGGCUUACCAACCCGAUGCAAACUACGAAUACCGAAGAAUGUUAUCACGGGAGACACACGGCGGGUGCUAACGUCCGUCGUGAAGAGGGAAACAACCCAGACCGCCAGCUAAGGUCCCAAAGUCAUGGUUAAGUGGGAAACGAUGUGGGAAGGCACAGACAGCCAGGAUGUUGGCUUAGAAGCAGCCAUCAUUUAAAGAAAGCGUAAUAGCUCACUGGUCGAGUCGGCCUGCGCGGAAGAUGUAACGGGGCUAAACCAUGCACCGAAGCUGCGGCAGCGACGCUUAUGCGUUGUUGGGUAGGGGAGCGUUCUGUAAGCCGUUGAAGGUGUGCUGUGAGGCAUGCUGGAGGUAUCAGAAGUGCGAAUGCUGACAUAAGUAACGAUAAAGCGGGUGAAAAGCCCGCUCGCCGGAAGACCAAGGGUUCCUGUCCAACGUUAAUCGGGGCAGGGUGAGUCGACCCCUAAGGCGAGGCCGAAAGGCGUAGUCGAUGGGAAACAGGUUAAUAUUCCUGUACUUGGUGUUACUGCGAAGGGGGGACGGAGAAGGCUAUGUUAGCCGGGCGACGGUUGUCCCGGUUUAAGCAUGUAGGCGGAGGUUCCAGGUAAAUCCGGUACCUUAUUAACGCUGAGGUGUGAUGACGAGGCACUACGGUGCUGAAGUAACAAAUGCCCUGCUUCCAGGAAAAGCCUCUAAGCAUCAGGUAACACGAAAUCGUACCCCAAACCGACACAGGUGGUCAGGUAGAGAAUACCAAGGCGCUUGAGAGAACUCGGGUGAAGGAACUAGGCAAAAUGGUGCCGUAACUUCGGGAGAAGGCACGCUGAUAUGUAGGUGAAGCCCCUGCGGGUGGAGCUGAAAUCAGUCGAAGAUACCAGCUGGCUGCAACUGUUUAUUAAAAACACAGCACUGUGCAAACACGAAAGUGGACGUAUACGGUGUGACGCCUGCCCGGUGCCGGAAGGUUAAUUGAUGGGGUUAGCGGUAACGCGAAGCUCUUGAUCGAAGCCCCGGUAAACGGCGGCCGUAACUAUAACGGUCCUAAGGUAGCGAAAUUCCUUGUCGGGUAAGUUCCGACCUGCACGAAUGGCGUAAUGAUGGCCAGGCUGUCUCCACCCGAGACUCAGUGAAAUUGAACUCGCUGUGAAGAUGCAGUGUACCCGCGGCAAGACGGAAAGACCCCGUGAACCUUUACUAUAGCUUGACACUGAACACUGGUCCUUGAUGUGUAGGAUAGGUGGGAGGCUUUGAAGCGUGGACGCCAGUCUGCGUGGAGCCGUCCUUGAAAUACCACCCUUUAAUGGCUGGUGUUCUAACGUAGACCCGUGAUCCGGGUUGCGGACAGUGUCUGGUGGGUAGUUUGACUGGGGCGGUCUCCUCCCAAAGAGUAACGGAGGAGCACGAAGGUUAGCUAAUCCUGGUCGGACAUCAGGAGGUUAGUGCAAUGGCAUAAGCUAGCUUGACUGCGAGAGUGACGGCUCGAGCAGGUGCGAAAGCAGGUCAUAGUGAUCCGGUGGUUCUGAAUGGAAGGGCCAUCGCUCAACGGAUAAAAGGUACUCCGGGGAUAACAGGCUGAUACCGCCCAAGAGUUCAUAUCGACGGCGGUGUUUGGCACCUCGAUGUCGGCUCAUCACAUCCUGGGGCUGAAGUAGGUCCCAAGGGUAUGGCUGUUCGCCAUUUAAAGUGGUACGCGAGCUGGGUUUAGAACGUCGUGAGACAGUUCGGUCCCUAUCUGCCGUGGGCGCUGGAGAAUUGAGGGGGGCUGCUCCUAGUACGAGAGGACCGGAGUGGACGCAUCACUGGUGUUCGGGUUGUCAUGCCAAUGGCACUGCCCGGUAGCUAAAUGCGGAAAAGAUAAGUGCUGAAAGCAUCUAAGCACGAAACUUGCCCCGAGAUGAGUUCUCCCUGAGACUUUAAGUCUCCUGAAGGAACGUUAAAGACUAUGACGUUGAUAGGUCGGGUGUGUAAGCGCAGCGAUGCGUUGAGCUAACCGAUACUAAUGAACCGUGAGGCUUAACCUUACAACGCCGAAGGUGUUU
rnacentral:rRNA from 1 species